ACAGAGACGAGCAGUGAAACAGCAGCACCAGGUAUCACAAAAUGAAGAUUCUUUUAAUUUGUCUGGUUGCCUCACUUGUUAUAAAUUACAGUGAGGCUUUGUGGUGUUAUGGAUGUGCUGGAACAGGCUGUUCAGGCAGACGAGAGAAGUGUGGCUCUCUUUUGCAAAAUCCUGUCUGUGCCACCAUAUAUGCCCCCACCUUUUUUAUGAAAGGCUGCAUGAGUGAGUACAUCUGUAGGCAACAACAGCAGGCUCCUCGUACCAUUGCUAACUGCUGCAAUACCGACUACUGCAACCGCUAACUAGUCAAGUUAAGACACAGUACACA